GGGUUGUGAGGUUAAGCGACUAAGCGUACACGGUGGAUGCCCUGGCAGUCAGAGGCGAUGAAGGGCGUGCUAAUCUGCGAUAAGCGCCGGUAAGGUGAUAUGAACCGUUAUAACCGGCGAUACCCGAAUGGGGAAACCCAGUGUGAUUCGUCACACUAUCAUUAACUGAAUCCAUAGGUUAAUGAGGCGAACCGGGGGAACUGAAACAUCUAAGUACCCCGAGGAAAAGAAAUCAACCGAGAUUCCCCCAGUAGCGGCGAGCGAACGGGGAGGAGCCCAGAGCCUGAAUCAGCAUGUGUGUUAGUGGAAGCGUCUGGAAAGGCGCGCGAUACAGGGUGACAGCCCCGUACACAAAAGCGCAUGUGCUGUGAGCUCGAUGAGUAGGGCGGGACACGUGGUAUCCUGUCUGAAUAUGGGGGGACCAUCCUCCAAGGCUAAAUACUCCUGACUGACCGAUAGUGAACCAGUACCGUGAGGGAAAGGCGAAAAGAACCCCGGCGAGGGGAGUGAAAAAGAACCUGAAACCGUGUACGUACAAGCAGUGGGAGCNNGUGACUGCGUACCUUUUGUAUAAUGGGUCAGCGACUUAUAUUCUGUAGCAAGGUUAACCGAAUAGGGGAGCCGGAGGGAAACCGAGUCUUAAUUGGGCGUUAAGUUGCAGGGUAUAGACCCGAAACCCGGUGAUCUAGCCAUGGGCAGGUUGAAGGUUGGGUAACACUAACUGGAGGACCGAACCGACUAAUGUUGAAAAAUUAGCGGAUGACCUGUGGCUGGGGGUGAAAGGCCAAUCAAACCGGGAGAUAGCUGGUUCUCCCCGAAAGCUAUUUAGGUAGCGCCUCGUGAAUUCAUCUCCGGGGGUAGAGCACUGUUUCGGCUAGGGGGCCAUCCCGGCUUACCAACCCGAUGCAAACUGCGAAUACCGGAGAAUGUUAUCACGGGAGACACACGGCGGGUGCUAACGUCCGUCGUGAAGAGGGAAACAACCCAGACCGCCAGCUAAGGUCCCAAAGUCAUGGUUAAGUGGGAAACGAUGUGGGAAGGCCCAGACAGCCAGGAUGUUGGCUUAGAAGCAGCCAUCAUUUAAAGAAAGCGUAAUAGCUCACUGGUCGAGUCGGCCUGCGCGGAAGAUGUAACGGGGCUAAACCAUGCACCGAAGCUGCGGCAGCGACGCUUAUGCGUUGUUGGGUAGGGGAGCGUUCUGUAAGCCUGUGAAGGUGUGUCGUGAGGCAUGCUGGAGGUAUCAGAAGUGCGAAUGCUGACAUAAGUAACGAUAAAGCGGGUGAAAAGCCCGCUCGCCGGAAGACCAAGGGUUCCUGUCCAACGUUAAUCGGGGCAGGGUGAGUCGACCCCUAAGGCGAGGCCGAAAGGCGUAGUCGAUGGGAAACGGGUUAAUAUUCCCGUACUUGGUGUUACUGCGAAGGGGGGACGGAGAAGGCUAUGUUGGCCGGGCGACGGUUGUCCCGGUUUAAGCGUGUAGGUGUGUGUUCCAGGUAAAUCCGGUUCACUUUAACACUGAGGCGUGAUGACGAGGCACUACGGUGCUGAAGUAACAAAUGCCCUGCUUCCAGGAAAAGCCUCUAAGCAUCAGGUAACAUCAAAUCGUACCCCAAACCGACACAGGUGGUCAGGUAGAGAAUACCAAGGCGCUUGAGAGAACUCGGGUGAAGGAACUAGGCAAAAUGGUGCCGUAACUUCGGGAGAAGGCACGCUGACACGUAGGUGAAGUGAUUUACUCAUGGAGCUGAAGUCAGUCGAAGAUACCAGCUGGCUGCAACUGUUUAUUAAAAACACAGCACUGUGCAAACACGAAAGUGGACGUAUACGGUGUGACGCCUGCCCGGUGCCGGAAGGUUAAUUGAUGGGGUCAGCGCAAGCGAAGCUCCUGAUCGAAGCCCCGGUAAACGGCGGCCGUAACUAUAACGGUCCUAAGGUAGCGAAAUUCCUUGUCGGGUAAGUUCCGACCUGCACGAAUGGCGUAAUGAUGGCCAGGCUGUCUCCACCCGAGACUCAGUGAAAUUGAACUCGCUGUGAAGAUGCAGUGUACCCGCGGCAAGACGGAAAGACCCCGUGAACCUUUACUAUAGCUUGACACUGAACAUUGAGCCUUGAUGUGUAGGAUAGGUGGGAGGCUUUGAAGUGUGGACGCCAGUCUGCAUGGAGCCGACCUUGAAAUACCACCCUUUAAUGUUUGAUGUUCUAACGUGGACCCGUGAUCCGGGUUGCGGACAGUGUCUGGUGGGUAGUUUGACUGGGGCGGUCUCCUCCUAAAGAGUAACGGAGGAGCACGAAGGUUGGCUAAUCCUGGUCGGACAUCAGGAGGUUAGUGCAAUGGCAUAAGCCAGCUUGACUGCGAGCGUGACGGCGCGAGCAGGUGCGAAAGCAGGUCAUAGUGAUCCGGUGGUUCUGAAUGGAAGGGCCAUCGCUCAACGGAUAAAAGGUACUCCGGGGAUAACAGGCUGAUACCGCCCAAGAGUUCAUAUCGACGGCGGUGUUUGGCACCUCGAUGUCGGCUCAUCACAUCCUGGGGCUGAAGUAGGUCCCAAGGGUAUGGCUGUUCGCCAUUUAAAGUGGUACGCGAGCUGGGUUUAGAACGUCGUGAGACAGUUCGGUCCCUAUCUGCCGUGGGCGCUGGAGAACUGAGGGGGGCUGCUCCUAGUACGAGAGGACCGGAGUGGACGCAUCACUGGUGUUCGGGUUGUCAUGCCAAUGGCACUGCCCGGUAGCUAAAUGCGGAAGAGAUAAGUGCUGAAAGCAUCUAAGCACGAAACUUGCCCCGAGAUGAGUUCUCCCUGAGACUUAAAGUCUCCUGAAGGAACGUUGAAGACGACGACGUUGAUAGGCCGGGUGUGUAAGCGCAGCGAUGCGUUGAGCUAACCGGUACUAAUGAACCGUGAGGCUUAACCUUACAACGCCGAAG
rnacentral:rRNA from 1 species